GGAGAGGGGAGCAAGGAGGAGCGGCAGGGGCAGGACAACAGUCCACCAAACCAAGAGGAAUCACCGAGAGCUUAGGGUACGUUCGCAAUUAAAGUCGGAACAAAAGAUUCAAGUUAAGGGAACUAAGCGAUCGAGGUUGAGCAGGGAAGUGGUGGAGGAAGUGCUAUUGAGACAAGACAU